AUCAAUAAAGACGGAAAAACAGUGCACACAAUAGACGAGUGGCCGAGUACAAUGAGCUUCUUUUAUAGUCAUGGAUUAUUCAUGUGUUAAACAAGUUCUGCUCAUCGAUUAGUUAUUAUCAAACCUGUGGAUUAUGUUUUUACUAUAAUUUAUGAUUUAAUUUGUACCUUGCAAACUCGGCAAGUAAAAAUAUCACUUAUUUAAGAGCCGAGAGAGUGUUGUUAAAAUGUGUCUGAUUACCUUUUAAAUGUUUUACAAGAUUCAGCGAUAUAUGAGUAUACUUCCAUGUCUACUUGAUUUCUAUACAGAAUAUGGGACCAGAUGUAGUGAAAUGUUUGCAUACCAUGUCUGGAUUCAACAAGCUAUUUACUGAUGGCUGAUUUUUAAGGAUGUCUUAUGAAGUUGUGAUUCUGCGAGGAAAAGCUCCGGUUCCAUUAUAUAUAUUCACUUUGGAAGGCAAAAAUUAUAUGUUGGUGGUUGCCCGAGAAAUCAAAAAGGCUAAAUCUUGAGUUGUAUGGAGCAUGGUCAUUUGCUUGAAGUUUCCAAUGGACUGUAUAUACCAUUGAAUGAGAGGAAUUAUUCCAUGAGUGUGGACAAAUUGAGCUGAUCGAUUGAUUGAGAAAAUAUUGUAUGGAUGUUCUCAGAUCUCCUUGCUCCACUACUCCUUGGAUUAUUACCUUUGUCCAUAUAUUUUGGUUUAUCUGAGCUGAAGCAGUGAUAAUAUACUCUAGAUAAAAGGAUGGACACAUAAGCUUGGGACAUGAUUGUGGCCGCUGUACUUCAAGAAGGUGCGGAGCUACGGUGAGCAGCAGGUUGCAUCGUCAUGGUGGUCGCCCUCGACCACGAUGGUGUGCACACCUUGGCACCAGGAAUUGGCUUGGGACGCCGUGGAGG